GACCUGAGCUCAGGCAAGAUUACCCG
rnacentral:rRNA from 1 species